CUACGUAGGGGGCGAGCGUUGUCCGGAAUGAUUGGGCGUAAAGGGCGCGUAGGCGGCCCGGUAAGUCUGGAGUGAAAGUCCUGCUUUUAAGGUGGGAAUUGCUUUGGAUACUGCCGGGCUUGAGUGCAGGAGAGGUAAGUGGAAUUCCCAGUGUAGCGGUGAAAUGCGUAGAGAUUGGGAGGAACACCAGUGGCGAAGGCGACUUUCUGGAGUGUAACUGACGCUGAGGCGCGAGAGUGUUGGGAGCAAACAGGAUUAGAUACCCUGGUAGUCCACGCUGUAAACGAUGAAUGCUAGGUGUAGGGGGUAUCGACCCCUUCUGUGCCGCAGUAAACACAAUAAGCAUUCCGCCUGGGGAGUACGGCCUCAAGGUUGAGACUCAAAUGAAUUGACGGGG
rnacentral:rRNA from 1 species